UAGUUUAAUGGUAGAGCAUGGGAAUCAUAAUCCUAAUGUUGUAGGUUCGAAUCCUAC
rnacentral:tRNA from 1 species